UACGGGAGGCAGCAGUGGGGAAUUUUGGACAAUGGGCGAAAGCCUGAUCCAGCAAUGCCGCGUGAGUGAAGAAGGCCUUCGGGUUGUAAAGCUCUUUUGUCAGGGAAGAAACGGUGAAAGCUAAUAUCUUUUGCUAAUGACGGUACCUGAAGAAUAAGCACCGGCUAACUACGUGCCAGCAGCCGCGGUAAUACGUAGGGUGCAAGCGUUAAUCGGAAUUACUGGGCGUAAAGCGUGCGCAGGCGGUUUUGUAAGUCUGAUGUGAAAUCCCCGGGCUCAACCUGGGAAUUGCAUUGGAGACUGCAAGGCUAGAAUCUGGCAGAGGGGGGUAGAAUUCCACGUGUAGCAGUGAAAUGCGUAGAUAUGUGGAGGAACACCGAUGGCGAAGGCAGCCCCCUGGGUCAAGAUUGACGCUCAUGCACGAAAGCGUGGGGAGCAAACAGGAUUAGAAACCCGAGUAGUCCCAUGAU
rnacentral:rRNA from 1 species